rnacentral:rRNA from 1 species
UACGUAGGGGCGAGCGUUAUCCGGAUUUACUGGGUGUAAAGGGCGUGUAUGCGGCUCUGCAAGUCAGAUGUGAAAUUUCCGGGCUUAACCCGGACGGGUCAUCUGAAACUGCAGGACUUGAGUACUGGAGAGGAUAGCGGAAUUCCUAGUGUAGCGGUAAAAUGCGUAGAUAUUAGGAGGAACACCGGUGGCGAAGGCGGCUAUCUGGACAGUAACUGACGCUGAGGCGCGAAAGCGUGUGGAGCAAACAGGAUUAGAUACCCUGGUA